rnacentral:rRNA from 1 species
AGUGAACGCUGGCGGUAGGCCUAACACAUGCAAGUCGAACGGCAGCACAGUAAGAGCUUGCUCUUACGGGUGGCGAGUGGCGGACGGGUGAGGAAUACAUCGGAAUCUACUUUUUCGUGGGGGAUAACGUAGGGAAACUUGCGCUAAUACCGCAUACGACCUACGGGUGAAAGCAGGGGAUCUUCGGACCUUGCGCGAUUGAAUGAGCCGAUGUCGGAUUAGCUAGUUGGCGGGGUAAAGGCCCACCAAGGCGACGAUCCGUAGCUGGUCUGAGAAGAUGAUCAGCCACACUGGAACUGAGACACGGUCCAGACUCCUACGGGAGGCAGCAGUGGGGAAUAUUGGACAAUGGGCGCAAGCCUGAUCCAGCCAUACCGCGUGGGUGAAGAAGGCCUUCGGGUUGUAAAGCCCUUUUGUUGGGAAAGAAAAGCAGCAGGUUAAUACCCCGCUGUUCUGACGGUACCCAAAGAAUAAGCACCGGCUAACUUCGUG